rnacentral:tRNA from 1 species
UGCGGGGUGGAGCAGUGGUAGCUCGCCGGGCCCAUAACCCGGAGGUCGGCCGUUCGAAUCGGUCCCCCGCAACGA